UUGUUCUGCUUAGACCUGGUCCACAAGUUCACAUUUUUCACGUUUUCUGAUUUAACACACCAGACUCAACUUAUUCGGCAAAUCCUUUAUUCAUUACAUCCUUUAUGAGCUACGUAUAGAUUUGUUAGUUUUGGAAAACAACCCAAGGACUGAUGAUUGUUAGACUUACCAGUCUUUAUGUGUUUGUGGGCAAUCCGGUGGAUUAUUAGUGGUGCAUGCUGACAUGAUUUCCCUGUAGUGAAACAUACUGAGAAGAUCCUUAUGGAGUGUGUUAUCCAAAGUCCACAGUAUGUUUCAGAAACUAGUGUGAAUGAGGACCAGAUGGAAGGAUCUUUCAAUGACAUCCCUGUGUUCAAUUCCUCAGUCUGUCACUUCUCAGAUGAAGAGAUUUCAACAAAGAAAGAGGAGCAUUUGAGGCUUGGGCCUGAAGACCUGAAUGACACCCUUCCUAUGACUGAUUCAUAGUCUCUGUAAAGGUGCACAUAUUGGGCUUUUAGUGUUUAAACUGGCAUGGGUUGUUUUUAUUAAGUUAAACUAUUUAAAAUAAGCAUUUUAUGGGUUUUUUUGUGUGGUAUUCUUCCUGUAGAGACAUUGUUAGGCUAAAGCAUUGUAGCACUUUUUUUUGUUUCCAGUGAGGACUCCAGACAAAAACGAUGAUGCCCUAAAGAGGGAAAUGUAGACCGUCACAACUAUCCUUACCGUAAACUCGAAGGGAUGUGGCACCUUUUGUGGUAUCGGGCUUACAAUAUACUACAGACCCUUUUACUAAAAGGGCUUUUACGGAGAUGAUCAACUGACCUAUAAAAUAAAAAAGUUCAUUUCAUGCUGUUACCACAGGGCUACAUUCUGAAUCGUUCUCUUUUUUCCUGUCAUUUGAAUGCAAUGUUGUAUAUAAUUAAGCUUAAUUUUAAUGUAUAAAUAAAAUAAAUGGAAAUUUUCA